AAACAGAAAUGUAGAAUGACAGUCGCUCAAUCUGUUGCAAGCAAUGACUUUCAAACAGCAAGUGCUAAAGAAGCCAAACACGCAGAAUUACAAGUCCAACGCUGAAACUGCUGGAAAAGAACAGUGAAAAAGAUACAGGUCUUCAUUCUUGAUGGGAUUCAGAAACUGAACUACUGUGUCUUCACAGACAAAUAAUCCAAAAUCAGCCUAAGAGUGUGGAGUAAACAGCAUCAAGCCUCUCUUUAAUAGGGAACUCAUCUAUAAAAACAAACACUUGUUAUACUUUUAUGAAUUAUCAAGUUGUACAACACACAGCAAUAAGGAUUUAGACAAACAAUCACAGAUUUUAUUAAUUUUAUUGUUGUGUCUAAUAUAUAUAGAAACAACUUGUGUUGUAAAAGAAAGGAUGACAGCAUAUCUCUUUAUCACGUGCCAGUAUAGGCCCUGACUGCACGUGAGAACAUUUGAAUUAUCUGGCACGAGGCCUCACACGUCAUACUUCAACUGACACAACGGUCUCGAUGGGUAAGAUUUCGUUACCAUAUACAGUAAAUAUUGGUUCAAGAGGGCAGUUUGAUAACUCAGUCGAGGUUUGUAAAUGGGGUUUCUGUUCCUGCAGUCUUUCAGGGGUGCUGGCGCGUAUGACGAUGCGGACAUGAACAGCAUACUACACUUUUAAACAUCUAAACAUGUCCUCCAAAAAGGUUUCCUGUGCUGUUUUGCUCCAUUUUACUGAACAAAAUAAGGCUGAGGUAGCACCAUCCUUGUGGUUAGAGUGAAAGAAUGUGGGUAUUGAGACCAAAAUAAACAAUGUGCCAUUCUGGACAAACAGCUGUGGACAAUAUGCAGUCAGAGUAGCCCAUUUUCUCACACAGACCUGAGGAUAAGAUUUCCAGUUUGAAAGUGAAGAAAAUGAAUCAUUAUUAACAGCAAAUAGGAGUAUUUCUCAGCUGAAAAGCCAGGUGAAACUAUAAGGUCACUAUGAUUCACUUUCAUAGUAUCAUUCUUUUCAGAUUUUUUUCCCUGUGUUUUUUUUGUUAGAUGAGGAGCAACCAGUAAGAAAAAGCAAAAAGAUGUUUUGAUGUUGCCUGAGGCACCUUAUUUUCCAUUUCAUGCACAAUCACAAAUGCAGCACAUCAAUCAAUUUCUUCCAACCAGCGAAUCAAGAAAUCUUGGAGUGGAGAAUCAUUCUGAAAGUAGACCAAAUCCAGGACAACAUCACAACAGUGGUCGGAAAAAUGCAGCAAGCCAAGCUGACUUUCAAAAGAUGAUUCGUUAUCUGUUUCUUCAGAGGGGAGGCAGUUUGGGAGAUGGGAAUUAGGAGGAUGCUACAGUUACACAGGGCAAAUUUCAGCAGCUCAGUUUCAAACUUGCAACUAACAUUGAGUUAAACUGGUCAGGGUGGAAGACCAGCUGACGUACCAGUUUUGCCAGGUUAAAGGACCAGCUUAAACCAGCUAAGACAGCCAACCAACUUAGCCAAGGUGGUAUAUGCUGGUGGGUCAGCUGGUCUUCCCGCCUGACCAGCUACAAAGUGGCCAAAACCUCUGUAAAACAAUCCUGCUACACCAGCCUGACCAGCUGAAACCAUACUGGGAGUAUUCAUAUUCAUAUCGAUUUGCAUUUACAAAUAAAAUAGGUAACUUACAGUACUGUGCAAAGUCUAGGCCACCAUCACCAGCUUUGUUGUUUUAGCUCAAUUUAAAUGCCCAUCCAUAUUUAUUUUUUACUCUUUUUAUUAAGAUACAAACAGAAAAUACAGGAAAUAUGUACACAAAAUUAAAAACAUCAGUCAGUAUUUAGUGUGACUUCUCUUGGCACGAAACACAUCUUGAGCUUUUUUGAGGAGACUGAAGUCAUUCGAUUAGAAUUAGAAAGGAUUAAAUUUUAUUUAUGUGUAAGAGAUCCUGCAGUUGCCUGCUAUUGCUCAAGUUGAAGGUGAGUUUACCCUAAAUACUUUAAACUUCAGCUUAAACUUUUAUACUGUUUUUUAAUACUACAUACACAUUUCCUGUAUUUUCUGGUUGUAUUCUAAUAAAGAGACUGAGAAAUAAACAUAUGAUCACUAAACAAUUGCAAAAACAACAAAUCUAAUGGUAGCAUGCAGACUUUUGCACAGAACUGUAUGUCCACAUUUAGCCACCUUUACUUUGAGUGAACUGUAACAGCAACUAUAAUGCCAUAAACAUUCAAUACUAAGGUAAAAGAGAGUUGUGCAUGCUUUCUAGUUUUAGCACAGAAUUCUGUCUCCCUUUUAAAUGUUUGCUACAGAUUUUUUGCAAGACAUUUUUGUCCAACCUAAAAACAACUUGUACUGACAUAUAUUAAAAUACAUCAGUGCCCUUUGUUUUUUUUUUACAUCAGAUUGCACACAAGUAAUGUUUUAGUAAGGCAUGUUUGUUAAAACUGGUUAUAUUUCAUAAUUAAACUGAGGCAUAGUCCUGGUUUAAGCUCCUUGUCUGGGAAACCACCCCAAUAAAUACUUAACUUUUGAAUGU